UGGAAGCGUGGCGACACGUGCAGCUGACGAAUACUAAUCGAUCGAGGACUUAACCCAA
rnacentral:rRNA from 1 species